rnacentral:rRNA from 2 species
GCGGGAAGAGCUCAAAUUUGAAAUCUGGUAGCCUUCGGUUGCCCGAGUUGUAAUCUAGAGAAGUGUUUUCCGCGUUGGCCCAUGUACAAGUCCCUUGGAACAGGGCGUCAUAGAGGGUGAGAAUCCCGUCCUUGACAUGGACCCCCAAUGCUUUGUGAUACACUUUCAACGAGUCGAGUUGUUUGGGAAUGCAGCUCAAAAUGGGUGGUGAAUUCCAUCUAAAGCUAAAUAUUGGCGAGAGACCGAUAGCGAACAAGUACCGUGAGGGAAAGAUGAAAAGCACUUUGGAAAGAGAGUUAAACAGUACGUGAAAUUGUUGAAAGGGAAACGAUUGAAGUCAGUCAUGCUCUUUGGAUUAAGCCGUUCUGCGGUGUAUUUCAUUGAGCGGGGUCAACAUCAGUUUUGAUCGCUGGAAAAGGGCAGGAGGAAGGUAGCACUCUCGGGUGAACUUAUAGCCUCUUGUCGUAUACAGUGAUUGGGACUGAGGAACGCAGCAUGCCUUUUGGCCGGGAUUCGUCCACGUACAUGCUUAGGAUGUUGACAUAAUGGCUUUAAACGACCCGUCUU